GUUGUAUAGUUAAGUGACUAAGCGUACAAGGUGGAUGCCUUGGCAAUCAGAGGCGAAGAAGGACGUGCUAAUCUGCGAAAAGCUUGGAUGAGUUGAUAAGAAGCGUUUAAUCCAAGAUAUCCGAAUGGGGAAACCCGAUGGAUGAAGAAUCCAUCAUCGUUUAAUGAAUUCAUAGUUAAACGAAGCAAACCGGGAGAACUGAAACAUCUAAGUACCCCGAGGAAAAGAAAUCAACCGAGAUUCCGUCAGUAGCGGCGAGCGAAAGCGGAGGAGCCAUCAAAUGUUAUCUCAACGAUUAAGAGAAUCAACUGGGAAGUUGAAUCAUAGAGGGUGAUAGUCCCGUAUCUGAAAAUAGUUGGGAAGGACUAAGUUUGAGAGAAGUAGGGCGGGACACGUGAUAUCCUGUCUGAAGAUGGGGGGACCAUCCUCCAAGGCUAAAUACUCCUGAUUGACCGAUAGUGAACCAGUACUGUGAAGGAAAGGCGAAAAGAACCCCGGUGAGGGGAGUGAAAUAGAACCUGAAACCUUGUACGUACAAGCAGUGGGAGCCGCAAGGUGACUGCGUACCUUUUGUAUAAUGGGUCAGCGACUUAUAUUUUGUAGCGAGGUUAACCGAAUAGGGGAGCCGAAGGGAAACCGAGUCUUAACUGGGCGUGAAGUUGCAAGGUAUAGACCCGAAACCCGGUGAUCUAGCCAUGGGCAGGUUGAAGGUUGGGUAACACUAACUGGAGGACCGAACCGACUAAUGUUGAAAAAUUAGCGGAUGACUUGUGGCUGGGGGUGAAAGGCCAAUCAAACCGGGAGAUAGCUGGUUCUCCCCGAAAUCUAUUUAGGUAGAGCCUUGAGCGGACACCUUUGGGGGUAGAGCACUGUUUCGGCUAGGGGGCCAUCCCGGCUUACCAACCCGAUGCAAACUACGAAUACCAAAGAGUGAUACUCAGGAGACACACGGCGGGUGCUAACGUCCGUCGUGGAGAGGGAAACAACCCAGACCGCCAGCUAAGGUCCCAAAGUUUAUAUUAAGUGGGAAACGAAGUGGGAAGGCUUAGACAGCUAGGAUGUUGGCUUAGAAGCAGCCAUCAUUUAAAGAAAGCGUAAUAGCUCACUAGUCGAGUCGGCCUGCGCGGAAGAUGUAACGGGGCUCAAAUAUAGCACCGAAGCUGCGGCAUCAGAAUUUAUUCUGUUGGGUAGGGGAGCGUUGUGUAAGCGGAUGAAGGUGAAUCGAGAGGUUUGCUGGACGUAUCACAAGUGCGAAUGCUGACAUAAGUAACGAUAAAACGGGUGAAAAACCCGUUCGCCGGAAGACCAAGGUUUCCUGUCCAACGUUAAUCGGGGCAGGGUGAGUCGGCCCCUAAGGCGAGGCUGAAAAGCGUAGUCGAUGGGAAACGGGUUAAUAUUCCCGUACUUGGAUAAACUGCGAUGUGGGGACGGAGCAGGUUAGGUUAGCGUGCUGUUGGAUAUGCACGUUUAAGCGGGUAGUUGGGGUAGGUAGGCAAAUCCGCUUACCCAAUCUAAACAACGAGAGGUGAUGACGAGGCUCUAAGGAGCUGAAGUAACUGAUACCAUACUUCCAGGAAAAGCCACUAAGCUUCAGGUUUAUCUAAACCGUACUGAAAACCGACACAGGUGGUCAGGUAGAGAAUACUCAGGCGCUUGAGAGAACUCGGGUGAAGGAACUAGGCAAAAUAGCACCGUAACUUCGGGAGAAGGUGCGCCGGCGUAGGUUGUAGUGUCUUGCACACGAAGGCCGAACCGGUCGAAGAUACCAGCUGGCUGCAACUGUUUAUUAAAAACACAGCACUCUGCAAACACGAAAGUGGACGUAUAGGGUGUGAUGCCUGCCCGGUGCUGGAAGGUUAAUUGAUGGUGUAAUCGAAAGAGAAGCUCCUGAUCGAAGCCCCAGUAAACGGCGGCCGUAACUAUAACGGUCCUAAGGUAGCGAAAUUCCUUGUCGGGUAAGUUCCGACCUGCACGAAUGGCAUAAUGAUGGCCAGGCUGUCUCCACCCGAGACUCAGUGAAAUUGAAAUCGCCGUGAAGAUGCGGUGUACCCGCGGCUAGACGGAAAGACCCCGUGAACCUUUACUAUAGCUUGACACUGAACAUUGAAUUUUGAUGUGUAGGAUAGGUGGGAGACUUUGAAGUGUGAACGCCAGUUUGCAUGGAGUCGACCUUGAAAUACCACCCUUUAACGUUUGAUGUUCUAACGAAGAUUGCGAAACGCGGUCUCGGACAGUGUCUGGUGGGUAGUUUGACUGGGGCGGUCUCCUCCCAAAGCGUAACGGAGGAGCACGAAGGUUUGCUAAUCACGGUCGGACAUCGUGAGGUUAGUGCAAUGGUAUAAGCAAGCUUAACUGCGAGACGGACAAGUCGAGCAGGUACGAAAGUAGGUCAUAGUGAUCCGGUGGUUCUGCAUGGAAGGGCCAUCGCUCAACGGAUAAAAGGUACUCCGGGGAUAACAGGCUGAUACCGCCCAAGAGUUCAUAUCGACGGCGGUGUUUGGCACCUCGAUGUCGGCUCAUCACAUCCUGGGGCUGAAGUAGGUCCCAAGGGUAUGGCUGUUCGCCAUUUAAAGUGGUACGCGAGCUGGGUUUAGAACGUCGUGAGACAGUUCGGUCCCUAUCUGCCGUGGGCGUAGGAGAAUUGAUUGGGGCUGCUCCUAGUACGAGAGGACCGGAGUGGACGC
rnacentral:rRNA from 1 species